rnacentral:rRNA from 1 species
GACGUAGGGCGCGAGCGUUGUCCGGAUUUAUUGGGCGUAAAGAGCUCGUAGGCGGCUUGUCGCGUCGACUGUGAAAUCCCGCGGCUCAACUGCGGGUCUGCAGUCGAUACGGGCAGGCUAGAGUUCGGUAGGGGAGACUGGAAUUCCUGGUGUAGCGGUGAAAUGCGCAGAUAUCAGGAGGAACACCGGUGGCGAAGGCGGUUCUCUGGGCAUUACCUGACGCUGAGGAGCGAAAGUGUGGGGAGCGAACAGG